GUAAACGCGGGUAAUUUUGAUAUAACGGAGAUUCAAAAUCGUAUUCUGUUUUGGGGGUUUUCUCCCUCGUCGCUUCAUCUACUUUGGUCACAAAAAACGAUAAACACAAACAACAAUAGAAUUCAACUUGAGUGACAGAAAAAGAAACAAAAAAUAAAAGGCAAAGCUAAUGGAGGACUAUCUGGAAAUCUCGCUGAAGGAAGAGAUCUCGUCUUGUGACAGUGACGGAGUGAGCAGCUCAAACAGAGAUGAAGAUGAGGAGGAAGAGUAUGAGGAGCAGCAAUCAGGG